ACGCUCGACACCUACGGGAGGCAGCAGUGGGGAAUAUUGCACAAUGGGGGAAACCCUGAUGCAGCGACGCCGCGUGGAGGAAGAAGGUCUUCGGAUUGUAAACUCCUGUUGUUGGGGAAAAAGNGGAUGGUACCCAACAAGGAAGUGACGGCUAACUACGUGCCAUCAGCCGCGGUAAUCUGAGCGGGCUGGCAAGGC
rnacentral:rRNA from 1 species